rfam:Ixodes scapularis strain Wikel colony gcontig_1108379433628, whole genome shotgun sequence.
UCCUGGUUAGCACAGUUGGUAGAACGCUCCACUAGAAAUGGAGAAAUCCCUGGUUCGAUACAAAGACCAGGCG